CCUACGGGAGGCAGCAGUAGGGAAUAUUGCUCAAUGGGGGCAACCCUGAAGCAGCAACGCCGCGUGAGGGAUGAAGGUUUUCGGAUUGUAAACUCCUUUUGUUAGAGGAGAUAAUGACGGUAUCUAAAGAAUAAGCACCAGCUCACUCCGUGCCAGCAGCCGCGGUAAUCCGGAGGUUGCAAGCGUUACUCGGAAUUACUGGGGGUAAAUCGCGCGUAGGCGGGAUAGCAAGUCAGAUGUGAAAUACUAUGGCUUAACCAUAGUACUGCGGUUGAAACUGUUGUUCUAGAGUAUGGGAGAGGUAGGUGGAAUGCUUGGUGUAGCGGUAAAAUGCGUAGAGAUCAAGAAGAAUACUGAUUGCGAAGGCGACCUGCUAGAACAUAACUGACGCUGAUGCGCGAAAGCGUGGGGAGCAAACAGGAUUAGAUACCCGAGUAGUC
rnacentral:rRNA from 1 species